rnacentral:rRNA from 1 species
AUUGAACGCUGGCGGCAGGCUUAACACAUGCAAGUCGAGCGGAGAUGAGGUGCUUGCACCUUAUCUUAGCGGCGGACGGGUGAGUAAUGCUUAGGAAUCUGCCUAUUAGUGGGGGACAACAUUCCGAAAGGAAUGCUAAUACCGCAUACGUCCUACGGGAGAAAGCAGGGGAUCUUCGGACCUUGCGCUAAUAGAUGAGCCUCAGUCGGAUUAGCUAGUGGGUGGGGUAAAGGCCUACCAAGGCGACGAUCUGUAACGGGUCUGAGAGGAUGAGCGGCCACACUGGGACUGAGACACGGCCCAGACUCCUACGGGAGGCAGCAGUGGGGAAUAUUGGACAAUGGGGGGAACCCUGAUCCAGCCAUGCCGCGUGUGUGAAGAAGGCCUUAUGGUUGUAAAGCACUUUAAGCGAGGAGGAGGCUACUGAGACUAAUACUCUUGGAUAGUGGACGUUACUCGCAGAAUAAGCACCGGCUAACUCUGUGCCAGCAGCCGCCGUAA